GCGGCGCUUCGAGCUCCAGUGCUUGGAAAGCUCGACACAGUCAGUUUCGAAAUCUCAGUAUCGAAUGGUCUAUCACUACUUGCAAGUCAUUUUUGUGUUGCCGUUUAUCUCCGUCUGUAAGUGGACUUCUUACUGGAAAAGAUGGCAACUUUUGAAUUUUAUAACGUCUUGGGAGAAGAUGUGUCGUCUGAAAAAUUUAAUUCCAGUCGAAUAAAGAGGGAGGGAAAUGAAAUGCGACGUGUGUCUGUAAACUUUAUAAUGGAUAUGUACAGUUUUUUGAUGACCGGUGGUAACCAGCUGUCCAUGUGGCUGAACAGAUGCCAGUGUACCCAAAUUCUGAGACACAACUGGAUGUUGUUUUCUUCUGCUUUUAAGAUUCCCAAUUUGAGAUGAGGUGCAGUUCAUAUUAGAUUUGCUAUUUCUACAGUUACAGUGAAAUAGAAGAGUCUUGUCGUGUUAUGGGGCAG